GUCUCGGAGCUCCUGGAGCUCUUCCUGCAGAGCCCGCUGGUGACCUGGGUGAAAACUUUUGGCCCGUUUGGAAGCGGCAGCCAGGACAACCUGACUAUGUACAUGGAUUUAGUGGACGGCAUCUUUUUGAACCAAAUUAUGCUGCAAAUAGAUCCCAGGCCCACAAAUCAACGCAUCAAUAAGCACGUCAACAAUGAUGUGAACCUUCGCAUUCAGAAUUUGACCAUCUUGGUGAGAAACAUUAAGACCUACUACCAGAGAUGGGGUGAUGAUUAUGAUGAAGAAGGUGAAGAAGCAGAUGAGGAAGGGGAAGAAGGAGGAGAUGAGGAAAAUGAUCCAGACUAUGACCCAAAGAAGGAUCAAAACCCAGCAGAGUGCAAGCAGCAGUGAAGCGGGAUGGUCUACGUUCUGCUUCCCUGG
rnacentral:sRNA from 1 species